GUAGCUGCUGUGAACUGAAGGGAGGGAGAAACUCGAGCAGCUUAAAGUGAAUUUUAGUUUGGUUCUGUCGUGGUGUGUUACCCUGAGUCACAGUAAAUACAAACCUGCAGCAACUGCCUGGCUCAGCUGCUGCUGCUGGAAAGGGAAUUUGCUGAGGGUUUGACACAAAUGGUCCAGGCAUCCCUUUCAUAAACAUAUGCAAUAUAUUCCAGAUGUUGAGAGAGUACAGAAGAAGAGGCCUGCAUCCCUUGCAGAUAAGUUUAUUGUUGUUCUCCCGAGCUCUGCAGGAUGGGUGUGCAGAACUGCUGCCACUGUCACUGCUCUGCUGUGGCAGCUUGUGCUGUGACUCUGAGUCCUCUCUGAGCUGGGGCUGGAGCUGCCCCCACUCCCACGGGAAUUGGCACAGCUGCCUUGGGCAGGCUCAGUGGGCUCAGCCCUGCUGGGCUGUAGCUUUACAGCUACUUUAGAUAAAUCCUGAAAUGUUGCAGUUGUGCUGUGCAGUGCCUGCCCUGCCCCAGGGAUCCCACCUCAGCUGUGUCUGCUCUUCUUUAGCAACCUGGGAGUGUGGCUGAGGACGUGACCAAGGGUGGCAUGGAGAGAACAACCAUCCAGAGGAGCAUUUCCUUCAGCCCUAAAGUGAGUGAGAGCAUUUCCUUCAGCCCUAAAAACACAAUGGCCAAGCCUGCCCUGCAGAAGCCAGUGAGCCAUGCUGUGGUUAAGGAGCCAGUGGUUUCUCCAGCCAGGGAGGAUGACAGGAAGGGAAGCCCCUAUGGGCAGUGGGUUCCUGUCAAGAAGGAGGAGAAGAAAACAUUCCUGAACUUCUCACCCAAAAGCUCCCUGUUCCGAGCACGCUGAUGGGAUUCCCUGUCAGACUGCAGCACUUCACACCCCUCAGUAGAGAGACAGAGAUUUCUCGUGGGCUUGAAGUUUUGUUAAUACUGAGUAUUUAUUUUGAGGUCUUAAUUUUUGGAAUCUUAGGUUUCUCUUUCAGAUAGAGAGCACACAGAUCCAGAAGCCACAGAUGGGAAUCUUGUGUAUAUUUGUAAAUAUUUUGUAUUGCUUUAUUGGACUAGAACUUGCAGGUGGGUAACUUUUUCUAAACCAUAGUUCAGUAGCUGUUCUUUGAACACCUGGAUUUACAUUGUGUAACUGUUUACUUGAAGUGAAUAAAGUUUUAGUUUUGCACUGGCUGCGUGUGGCA
rnacentral:lncRNA from 1 species